rnacentral:rRNA from 1 species
GCUUGUCUCAAAGAUUAAGCCAUGCAUGUCUAAGUACAAGCCUCAGUAAGGUGAAACCGCGAAUGGCUCAUUAAAUCACACCUAAUCUACUGGAAAGUUACUAGUUACUUGGAUAACUGAGGUAAUUCUUGAGCUAAUACAUGCGUAAAAUCCCGACUCACGAAGGGAUGUAUUUAUUAGAUAAAAAACCGAUGCCUUCGGGCUUUGUGUUGACUCAUAGUAACUGUUCGAAUCUCACGCGCAAGCAGGAGAUAGUUCAUUCAAAUUUCUGCCCUAUCAGCUUUCGACGGUAGUGUAGUGGACUACCGUGGCCGUAACGGGUGACGGAGAAUUAGGGUUCGAUUCCGGAGAGGGAGCCUGAGAAACGGCUACCACAUCCAAGGAAGGCAGCAGG